AGUUCCGGGUUCGAGCCCCGGGCAAC
rnacentral:tRNA from 1 species